rnacentral:rRNA from 1 species
GCAAGUUCGAAGCGGCAGCGCGGGGGCAACCCUGGGCGGCGAAGCGGCGGACGGGUGAGGAAUACAUCGGAAUCUGCCAUGUUGUGGGGAAUAACGUAGGGAAACUUACGCUAAUACCGCAUGAGACCGUAAGGUGAAAGUGGGGGAUCGCAAGACCUCACGCGACAAGAUGAGCCGAUGUCGGAUUAGCUAGUUGGUGGGGUAAUGGCCUACCAAGGCGACGAUCCGUAGCUGGUCUGAGAGGAUGAUCAGCCACACUGGGACUGAGACACGGCCCAGACUCCUACGGGAGGCAGCAGUGGGGAAUAUUGGACAAUGGGCGCAAGCCUGAUCCAGCCAUGCCGCGUGAGGUGAAGAAGGCCUUCGGGUUGUAAAGCCACUUUUGUAUGGGAAAGAAAUCCUGCUCGGCUAAUACCCUGGCGGGGAUGACGGUACCCAAAGAAUAAGCACCGGCUAACUUCGUGCCAGCAGCCGCGGUAAUACGAAGGGUGCAAGCGUUACUCGGAAUCACUGGGCGUAAAGCGUGCGUAGGCGGUUCGUUAAGUCUGUCGUGAAAGCCCUGGGCUCAACCUGGGAAUUGCGAUGGAUACUGGCGAGCUAGAGUACGGUAGAGGAUGGUGGAAUUCCCGGUGUAGCGGUGAAAUGCGUAGAGAUCGGGAGGAACACCCGUGGCGAAGGCGGCCAUCUGGACCAGUACUGACGCUGAGGCACGAAAGCGUGGGGAGCA